rnacentral:rRNA from 1 species
AUGGGAACGCGAAGAACCUUACCUACUCUUGACAUCCAGAGAACUUAGCAGAGAUGCUUUGGUGCCUUCGGGAACUCUGAGACAGGUGCUGCAUGGCUGUCGUCAGCUCGUGUUGUGAAAUGUUGGGUUAAGUCCCGCAACGAGCGCAACCCUUAUCCUUUGUUGCCAGCAGUCCGGCCGGGAACUCAAAGGAGACUGCCAGUGAUAAACUGGAGGAAGGUGGGGAUGACGUCAAGUCAUCAUGGCCCUUACGAGUAGGGCUACACACGUGCUACAAUGGCAUAUACAAAGAGAAGCGACCUCGCGAGAGCAAGCGGACCUCAUAAAGUAUGUCGUAGUCCGGAUUGGAGUCUGCAACUCGACUCCAUGAAGUCGGAAUCGCUAGUAAUCGUAGAUCAGAAUGCUACGGUGAAUACGUUCCCGGGUCUUGUACACACCG